AUUGACCGCUGGCGGCAGGCCUAACACAUGCAAGUCGAACGAGUGGCGGACGGGUGAGUACUGUCUGGGAAACUUCCCGAUGGAGGGGGAUAACUACUGGAAACGGUAGCUAAUACCGCAUACCAUCGGAUGUGCCCAGAUGGGAUUAGCUAGGAGGUGGGGUAACGGCUCACCUAGGCGACGAUCCCUAGCUGGUCUGAGAGGAUGACCGCGCACACGGGAAGUGAGACACGGUCCAGACACCUACGGGAGGCAGCAGUGGGGAAUAUUGCACAAUGGGCGCAAGUCUGAUGCAGCCAUGCCGCGUGUAUGAAGAAGGCCUUCGGGUUGGAAAGUACUUUCAGCGAGGAGGCGUUACUCGCAGAAGAAGCACCGGCUAACUCCGUGCCAGCAGCCGCGGUAAUAC
rnacentral:rRNA from 1 species